AACGGUAUGCAAAAACCAUUGUAUGCAGUACCCGAACUGAACAUCACUUUGAAGUUGGUUGUCAUUGAUUUUAUUUUCACUGCUUCUCCAUUUCUAUAUCAUACGAUGAAAGCAGCUGCCUCUGCAUCAAUAAUCAACUAUCAAUUUGAGAUGAAGACUACCUGUUCCUCUCAAAGAUAAGAGAAGAGGGGGGAAAUGCGCAAGACAAGUAACAAUACACAUGUAGGGGGGAUGACCUUUAUAUGCAAAAUACUUUUCCCAUAUGAAACUGAUGCAUCUAAUACAGCAUCCUAGCACUUCCCUGAACCCAAACACAAAUUUCUUAUAAAUCAAGCAAAUAUUUUUUUUUUAAAAAGCCACUCUGGGCUGGAACGAUACCAGAAAAGCUUAUACAGUGGUAAUUGGAAUAUUGACAGAAAAGUCACCAGGAGGUUCAUGCUUCUGGAACAAGUCAUCAUAAGGAAGUGCAAGUCCCAAGACAAGUGUGAGUAUGUUGUAUAUGAAGAAAUAGGCAUAACAUGAUGAAAUGAGUAUGAGGGGCAAGUUAGUCAAUACCAAUAAUAGAUAUUUGUUAGGCAAGUUUGUUAGUACAGUUAGUAGAAGUUAGUUACAGUUUGUUAGAUGAUGCUGUAUAUAUACAGAAUAAUGUACCAAUACAAUGUAUCAGUUUUCACUCAUUUUCUUUGAAUAAAAGUUCUCUCUCUUUUCUUCUUAGCAGAGCUUUCUCUAAUGGCUAUCAAUGGAAGUCUAGUGAAUUGAGUGUUAACUGUUCAUAGAAUUUAUCAUGGUAUCAGAGCGUAUGACCACUAUUGUGAGUUCGAAUCGAUUGUUUUAGAUAGAGGAGCAUUGUAAUUGGAAGAUAAGUGAGAUUGAUGAAGCAGAAUAGUAAUGGCAGCCACGAAGAUCGACCAUACACAUGCACUCUUCAUUCAUCCUUCAGAUACAACUGGAGGUCCAAUUGUUCCUAUCCAAUUAACAGGAUCUGAAAAUUACUCGAUCUGGAGCAGGUCAAUGCGAAUCCAAUUGCUUGGAAAGAACAAGCUGGGGAUUGUGGAUGGAACCUAGAAGAAAGAGGAUUUUUCUUCAGAUUUAGCUCACCAAUGGGAUAGAUGUGAUGCCGUUGUGAUUGGAUGGAUACUGGGAUCAGUGACAAAGGAACUACAUGCAGGGAUUGUCUAUGCAGAAAAUGCGAAGAUGAUUUGGGAAGAUCUUUAGGAGAUGUUUGAUAAAGUGAACACUUCGCGAGUCUACCAACUGCAUAAAGAUAUGGUAACUUUGAUUCAAGGAACUGAUAAUGUGUCAACUUAUUUCUCAAAACUGAGACAUUUCUGGGCAGAAUUUGAUAGCAUGACACCACCUCCUUGUGAUUGUGCUAAAUCCAAGGAUUUUAUGCUGCAUAUACAGAGAUUAAAGGUGAUGCAAUUCCUUAUGGGACUGAAUGAGAACUAUGAACAAGCUAGGAGCCAAAUACUGAUGACUAGUCCAACUCCUAAUAUCAAUAAGGCCUACUCCAUGCUGAUCGAAAGAGAGAGUCAAAGGUCGAUUGUCAAUUCAGGAGACAGAGUUGAAUUAGGAGCCAUGAUGGCAGGGAGAGGAAACUCUUAUCACAGACCGCCAAAGAAUUGGAAUCUUCAAUGUGAUCACUGUAAGCUUAAAGGUCACACAAAGGAUGUAUGCUACAGAUUGGUUGGAUACCCACCAGGAUAUAAAGGAAAGAAGAAGGAAGAGUUCUCUAAUGCAAACAAUGUUCGAAAUGAAGACACUGGUGCACAUAGGUAUCAAGGAGAAGCUAUUGCCUAUAAUGCUCAAACUGAAAAUAUACAUCCAAAUGUGUGUGCAGGGUACAAGACUGAAUGUUCAACUGGAAAAGGAGAUCUUCAAAGAGCACCAUACAUGACUGAGAACCAACAAGACAAGAUCAAAAUGAUGCUUGACAAUGAUAAGCAACCAGAUUACAUGGCUCAUAUGGCAGGUAUUGACUUCAAACCUUUAUCCACAGUAAAGCAGAUAAAGUGGAUAAUAGACACAGGAGCUACAAAUCAUAUGACUGCUAGUUUAGAUACAAUGACUGGCAUAGAACAUGUAAGAACACAUCAUAAAAGGAAGGUCCAUUUGCCUAAUGGUGAAGUGACAAUGGUGUCUCACACAGGAAAGUGCAGUUUGGGAGAUAUAGGAGUACUUGAAAAUGUUCUGUACAUACCUGAUUUUAAGUAUAAUCUUUUAUCAGUAUCAAAGAUAACUAAGGAGCUCAAUUGUUUUGUCUCUUUUUAUCCUGGUUUCUGCUUGUUCCAGGACCUUACCAGUGGGAUCUUGAAGGGGAUUGGUAAGGAGAGUGCUGGUUUAUACAUAAUGUUCUCACCACAACAUGACACACAUUUCAGUGCUGAUUCGAAUGCAGAGGUUCACAGAGCUCAUGUUGCAAAGAAGAAACAUGAAGAUAUACUGUUGUGGCAUAGAAGGCUUGCCCAUCCUUCUAGUGUUUCCAUGAAGCAUUUGCUUGGUUAUAAACUAGAUGAGUGUAAAUCAAUUGUAGCUGAUUGUGAAGUGUGUCCUCUAGCUAAGCACACUAGACUUUCAUUUCCUCAUUCUUUCAUUUCCUCAUUCUACUAGUACUUCUGUUAAAGUGUUUGAACUGUUGCACCUAGAUGUUUGGGGAACAUAUCAUGCUGAAACUUUUGAUGGGAAUAAACAUUUUCUGACUAUAGUUGAUGACUUCUCUCAUGUUACCUGGAUUUUUCUGUUAAAGUUUAAAAGUGAUGUUAUAUUAAUUUCUCAAACUGAUACACACUCAAUUCCAGGCUACUGUUCAAAUGAUUAGAACAGAUAAUGGUGGUGAAUUUGUGAAUUCUGAGAUGCAACAAUUCCUUCAAGAACUUGGUAUUAUCCAUCAGACCACUUGUGUCUAUACCCCUCAGCAGAAUGGUGUAGGUGAGAGGAAGCAUAGACAUUUACUCGAAGUAGCUAGAGCCCUUAGAUUUCAAGGACAUGUUCCUAUCAGAUUCUGGGGUCAUUGCAUUCUAACUGCAGCUUAUGUUAUUAAUAGAUUACCAUCAACCGUCCUUGGUGGUAAAUCCCCUUAUGAAUUGUUUUUUGGAAAGCCACCUUCAGGUACUCAUCUAAGAACUUUUGGAUGUCUGUGCUAUGCUAGUGCUUUGCCUAGAAAGGAUAAAUUUGCUUCUAGAGCAGUGCCUUCUGUGUUCAUGGGCUACUCUACUACUACCAAAGGAUAUAUUUUAUUUGAUGUUGCACAGAAAAGAUUUUUUGUCAAUAAGGAUGUCACUUUCAGGGAACAUGUCUUUCCUUUUCAGUCAUCUCCUGAGCCUGUCCCCCAGGUUGAUCAGUUUCUUUGGUCUUCUGAAUCAUUCCCUCCUAGUGACAUUUCCUCUAUUGAUGACCCUCUUCACACUGUCACUGUUAAUGAUCCUGCAAGUCCACUGCCUACACAGUCUUCUAGUUCACCACAUCCUUCUCCAUCUCCUGUUGUUUCCACUGCAUCUCCAGAUACAACCUUGCCUGUCUCCAUUCCUUCUCCACCCAGGAGGUCACAAAGAGUAUCUAAGGCACCCCUUUGGCUUGUUGAUUAUGUCACCAAAAAGGCUGCUCAUGUUACUUAUCCACUCAGUGCCCAUCUCUCCUAUGCAACUCUUUCACCAGCUUAUCAGGUGUUUCUCAGUUCUCUAUCUCAUAUACAGGAGCCUAGGUCCUAUCAUGAGGCUAUUAAGGAUAACAGGUGGGUUGAUGCCAUGAAUUCUGAGUUGGAGGCUCUUCAGCUCAACCAUACUUGGGAUUUGGUCCCCUUACCUCCAGGCAAAAUGGCUAUUGGUUGUCGAUGGGUGUAUAAGGUUAAGUUGCAGGCUUCUGGUGAGGUGGAGAGAUUCAAAGCCAGGCUGGUGGCUAAGGGGUAUAAUCAGCAGGAAGGUCUAGACUACCAUGAAACAUUUUCUCCAGUGGUCAAGAUUGCCACUGUGAGAAUUGUUCUGUCACUGGCUGCUCAACAUAACUGGCAUAUUCAUCAGCUGGAUGUUUAUAAUGCUUUCCUUCAAGGUGAUUUAGAUGAUGAGGUGUACAUGCAGCUUCCUCAGGGAUUACCAAGUCAGGGGGAGUCUAGUGGCACUGUUUGUAGACUUGUUAAAUCCCUGUAUGGGUUAAAACAGGCCAGCAGACAGUGGAACUUGAAAUUAUCUGAUGCAUUGGUCCAUUCAGGUUUUGUUCAAAGUUGUAUGGAUUACUCAUUGUUCAUAAGGAAGAAAGGGAAUGAUAUUGUCAUUGUUUUGGUCUAUGUGGAUGAUAUGUUGGUAACAGGUAGCAGCAGUAUCUCUGCUAUUGAGGAAACCAAAGCAUCCUUACAUGAACCCUUCAAGAUCAAAGACUUAGGAACACUAAAGUUCUUUCUUGGAAUGGAGUUUCACAGAUCUUCUAAAGGUAUUCUGAUAAACCAGAGGAAGUAUGUUCAAGAAAUCAUUUCAGAACUGGGGAUAGGAUCUGUCAAACCAGCAUGGACUCCACUAGAGGUUAAUGCAAAGCUAACAACACCAGAACUUGAUGAGUUGACACAAAAAACAGAUGAUGACAUGUUAGAAGACAAGACAAAGUAUCAAAGGUUAAUUGGGAAGAUGUUAUAUUUGACACUUACAAGACCUGACAUAAGCUAUGCAGUACAAACACUUAGUCAAUUUUUACAACAACCUAAACAAUCUCACUGGGAUGCAGCAGUUAGGGUCAUGAAGUAUAUCAAAAGAGAGCCAGCUCUAGGUAUAUUGUUGAGUAGCAAGGCCUCCAAUUCACUGACAGUCUUCUGUGAUUCAGACUGGGCUUCUUGCCCAAACACAAGAAGGUCAGUCUCAGGUUUUGUGAUCAAACAUGGGAGCUCACUGAUUUCUUGGAAAUCAAAGAAACAAAGUGUGGUGUCCAGGAGUUCAGCAGAAGCUGAAUACAGGAGCAUGGCAAAUGCUGUUUCUGAAGUAGUGUGGCUGACUGCUUUGUUGAAAGAAUUGGAUGGCGAGAUAAUAACUCCUGUAAUUGUGCACAGUGAUAGCAAAGCUGCAUUGCAAAUUGCAGCAAAUCCUGUUUUUCACGAACGUACUAAACAUAUUGAGAUAGAUUGCCAUUUCAUCAGGCAAAAAAUUCAAGAGGGGCUGAUCAAGACAGUGCAUGUAGGUUCCAAAGAUCAAUUGGCAGAUGUGUUGACUAAAGGUUUGCCACGACCACAACAUGAAUUCCUAGUAGGCAAGCUAGGCAUGUUGAAUAUCUUCAUACCAGCCAGCUUGAGGGGGAGUGAAGAAAUAGGCAUAACAUGAUGAAAUGAGUAUGAGGGGCAAGUUAGUCAAUACCAAUAAUAGAUAUUUGUUAGGCAAGUUUGUUAGUACAGUUAGUAGAAGUUAGUUACAGUUUGUUAGAUGAUGCUGUAUAUAUACAGAAUGAUGUACCAAUACAAUGUAUCAGUUUUCACUCAUUUUCUUUGAAUAAAAGUUCUCUCUCUCUUUUCUUCUUAGCAGAGCUUUCUCUAAUGGCUAUCAAUGGAAGUCUAGUGAAUUGAGUGUUAACUGUUCAUAGAAUUUAUCAGUAUAGUAACGAGACGCAGUGCUGUAGGUACGAGAAAAUGACCAAAAUGGUCCUUAAUGUAUGGAAGUUGAAUAGAUAUUUGUGUGACUAUAAAUCAUUAAAUUACUGGUAAAAUGGGAAGUUUAAAGUUAAACUGUUACUAAAUAUAAAAAAAAAGGUGUCGUUCUUUUUUGGACUAGCUAAAAAGGAAGAGUAGUGCAUAAAUUGGGACAGAGGACGUACCACUUAACGUAUGCAAAAACUGAAAACCUCUAUUCUAAAUCAUAAAACUGCCGACUCCUUUACAAAAUUCGGUUGAACUUAACUGUGAAAAUCACGCUUCACAAUGACCAGAAAAGGCUGAAACAGUUAAAUCUAAAGAGGGCGCAUUAACAUAAGAAAUUAUUGAGCAGUCAUCAGAGGUGUGGUGCUGUCAAAACAAUCACCAGAAAAAAGCUGAAACAGAAAAUCAAAUCUACUGGAACAGGGAAAGAAUGAAAGUUUUUGACCGAGUGGGUUACAUAUACAGCAUAAAGCAGCUUGUCAGUAAACGGAAAUGACGCAAAUCCAUAGAGGUCUUCUACCAGUGAGAAGGAAGAGAAUCCGAGAAUGUGAGACCAGUAUCUUUACGCCUAGAAAUUCUUAAAGAUGAUUUAUGCAAUACAUGUAUACUUCACUUUGACAUGGAACAAUAUAGCUAUCCUAAGAUUCUAAUAUUCCAACAUUCUACCAAUUCCCUCUCCCCAAUCUCAAAAACCAACCUCCGCUCUCCAGCCUCCCCAACUAUCUAACCUCCACAUUCGUGCUCUUUGCCCUCCUGGGUCAGCACCAAGAGGUAAAAGAAGAACUGCAGUCCUCUGCCUUAACACUCGGCCAUGUCGUCAAAAUGCUACAAAUACAAAAUACAUGAAAACAAUAGCUGCAGAUUUCACUAAUUUCAGACCAACCACGCCAAAUGGCAAAAGAACCAGCAGAAGCUAUAUCCAACCAAAAGCUUAGGUAAACAUUCAAAAGCCAUCAGAAAUCAGAAUGCGAAAAACAUAUUGUACUUAC
rnacentral:lncRNA from 1 species